rnacentral:rRNA from 1 species
UAGGGAAUCUUCGGCAAUGGGGGGAACCCUGACCGAGCAACGCCGCGUGAGUGAAGAAGGUUUUCGGAUCGUAAAGCUCUGUUGUUAAGGAAGAACGAGUGUGAGAAUGGAAAGUUCAUGCUGUGACGGUACUUAACCAGAAAGGGACGGCUAACUACGUGCCAGCAGCCGCGGUAAUACGUAGGUCCCGAGCGUUGUCCGGAUUUAUUGGGCGUAAAGCGAGCGCAGGCGGUUAGAAAAGUCUGAAGUGAAAGGCAGUGGCUCAACCAUUGUAGGCUUUGGAAACUGUUUAACUUGAGUGCAGAAGGGGAGAGUGGAAUUCCAUGUGUAGCGGUGAAAUGCGUAGAUAUAUGGGGGAACACCUGUGGCGAAAGCGGCUCUCUGGUCUGUAACUGACGCUGAGGCUCGAAAGCGUGGGGAGCGAACAGG